rnacentral:rRNA from 1 species
GAGUUUGAUCGUGGCUCAGAUUGAACGCUGGCGGCAUGCCUUACACAUGCAAGUCGAACGGCAGCAUGAUCUAGCUUGCUAGAUUGAUGGCGAGUGGCGAACGGGUGAGUAAUACAUCGGAACGUGCCCUGUAGUGGGGAGUAACUAGUCGAAAGAUUAGCUAAUACCGCAUACGACCUGAGGGUGAAAGUGGGGGACCGGCAAGGCCUCAUGCUAUAGGAGCGGCCGAUGUCUGAUUAGCUAGUUGGUGGGGUAAAGGCCCACCAAGGCGACGAUCAGUAGCUGGUCUGAGAGGACGAUCAGCCACACUGGGACUGAGACACGGCCCAGACUCCUACGGGAGGCAGCAGUGGGGAAUUUUGGACAAUGGGCGAAAGCCUGAUCCAGCAAUGCCGCGUGUGUG